rnacentral:rRNA from 1 species
UACGUAGGGUGCAAGCGUUGUCCGGAAUUAUUGGGCGUAAAGAGCUCGUAGGUGGUCUGUCGCGUCUGCUGUGAAAACUCAGGGCUUAACCCUGAGCUUGCAGUGGGUACGGGCAGACUAGAGUGCGGUAGGGGGAGACUGGAAUUCCUGGUGUAGCGGUGAAAUGCGCAGAUAUCAGGAGGGAACACCGGUGGCGAAGGCGGG